rnacentral:misc_RNA from 1 species
GAUGAAGAACGCAGCGAAAUGCGAUAAGUAAUGUGAAUUGCAGAAUUCAGUGAAUCAUCGAAUCUUUGAACGCACAUUGCGCCCCCUGGCAUUCCGGGGGGCAUGCCUGUCCGAGCGUCAUUACAACCCUCAAGCUCAGCUUGGUGUUGGGCCCCGCCGCCCCGGCGGGCCCUAAAGUCAGUGGCGGUGCCGUCCGGCUCCGAGCGUAGUAAUUCUUCUCGCUCUGGAGGUCCGGUCGCGUGCUCGCCAGCAACCCCCAAUUUUUUUCAGGUUGACCUCGGAUCAGGUAGGGAUACCCGCUGAACUUAAGCAUAUCAAUAAGCGAGGA